AUGUGUAUGCUUGAUCCGGACAUGCAAGCAUUACGAACCACAGCUUCUUCCUUGGCGGGUGACAGAGACCAAAAGAGUGUUCAAAGAAGGGCACAGCGGGGGAGAGCUGUCAGUCAAGGAAUCAAAUGUGGAAAAAGAGGCUGCGGGGUUGCCGUCUCGAAAGAGUUCGCGAGGCUCUUCGAAUGGGCGAUGAUUCCAAAACCAAUCUCACAAGGAACUUCAUGAAUGUCGGCUGCGCUGUGGAGUGCCAUGUCAUGUCAUGGCAAGCGUAAAUUGACAGGGAUAGCAAUCACUCUCUGUGCCCCUACUACUUCUUCAUGUGCUGUGGAACGCAUGCAUGCAUGCCGCAUCAUUGGACUCGUCAAAGUUGUCGACGAAAUGACUACAAGAAACCUGGAGGAUCUCAUCUCAGAAGGCUAAAGAUCCAUGAAAGAGCCUCAUUUGACAAGGUCAGC